GUCCUAGCAGUAAACGGUGCACGCUUGGUGUGAGGGGAAUCGACCCCCCUUGUGCCGGAGCUAACGCGUUAAGCGUGCCGCCUGGGAAGUACGGUCGCAAGACUAAAACUCAAAGAAAUUGACGGGGACCCGCACAAGCGGUGGAGUAUGUGGCUUAAUUCGAUGCAACGCGAAGAACCUUACCAAGGCUUGACAUGCAUCUCUAAACACGUGAAAGCGUGUGACCCUUCGGGGAAUUUGCACAGGUGCUGCAUGGCCGUCGU
rnacentral:rRNA from 1 species